GAGAGAAGGGAGACGAGGCCAGGGACGUGGAAGUGAAUGAGGGAGAGCACAGGAUGAGUCAGCUGAGGUGCAACAGGCUCCGCAGAGCAGUGUGUAACGAGAGCCUUGUUCUCCUCUCUCUUGUGUGGCUGCCUCGGGCCUGGACGCAGGGCAGGACUUUGGCGAUGAGCUCAUUGUUGUGAGAUCCAAACAGCAGCAGCCUCCCGGGGGACGAGACGAGAGCCCUGGAGGCUUCGCUCACGAAGAGCUGCGGAAAGUGAUGGUGGUUUCUCUUGUUGAUAUAAACAACCAAGACUCGGGGGGCAAAUUUAGACAGCAGUGUGCCACGACUGCACAGACGAGCAAAGCAUCUCGGAGCUCUUUGAAUUCCAACGAAAACAUCCACUCAUUAGGGGGAGGAAUCAAGAAAUUUGAACAAACUUUGGCAGCUUAUGUUGCUUUCUCUCCCUCUCUGUG